GACAUUUAGCAGACCAGAGCAUGUCUUCACUUGGGGUAAGAAGAAGAAGAAGAACCGUUCCUCAACAGCUCACAUCCUUUCUCGAAGCUUUCUGAUGCCUUGUGCUCGACCACUGCGCGGCUAAAGAAGUCCACGAGACCGCUGAAAGCCUUCUGUGUGACCAUUGUAGAGAUGGACGAUAAGCUGGCCUGGGAUAGCAUGUGGACAGGCAACGAAAGCGAUCUAAACGAUAGCUGAAAUGCGGAGCAAGGCUCACAGAGGCAAACACACAGAGGAAACCAAACAAACCCAGCAAAAUGAUUGAAAGGAUGGACGACCUGGGAUAGCAUGUGGACAAGAGAAAAAAAAAACAAUCUAAAUGAUAGCUGGAAUGAGGAGCAAGAUUCACAGAAGGAAACCAAAAGAACCCAGAAAAAUGAUUGCAAGGAUGGACCGGAACAAAAACUUGGAAUGGAAAACACAUGGAGCAAGCAAAGGAACUCUGCAAAAUGUAAGUAACUCAUUUUUUGGAUUUUGUUAUAUUA